rnacentral:rRNA from 1 species
CAACUUUCAGCAACGGAUCUCUUGGCUCUCGCAUCGAUGAAGAACGCAGCGAAAUGCGAUAAGUAAUGUGAAUUGCAGAAUUCAGUGAAUCAUCGAAUCUUUGAACGCACCUUGCGCUCCUUGGUAUUCCGAGGAGCAUGCCUGUUUGAGUCUCGUGG